rnacentral:rRNA from 1 species
UACGGGGGGGGCAAGCGUUGUUCGGAAUUACUGGGCGUAAAGCGCGUGUAGGCUGCUUCGCAAGUCGGAUGUGAAAGCCCUGGGCUCAACCCAGGAAGUGCAUUCGAAACUGCAGAGCUGGAGUCCUGGAGAGGAAGGCGGAAUUCUCGGUGUAGAGGUGAAAUUCGUAGAUAUCGAGAGGAACACCGGUGGCGAAGGCGGCCUUCUGGACAGUGACUG